ACGCAAUAGAUACCCGGGUAGUCCACGUCCUAAACGAUGUCUACUAGUUGUCGGGUCUUAAUUGACUUGGUAAACGCAGCUAAACGCGUGAAGUAGACCGCCUGGGGAGUACGGUCGCAAGAUUAAAACUCAAAGGAAUUGACGGGGACCCGCACAAGCGGUGGAUGAUGUGGAUUAAUUCGAUGCAACGCGAAAAACCUUACCUACCCUUGACAUGGAAGGAAUCCCUGAGAGAUCGGGGAGUGCUCGAAAGAGAACCUUUACACAGGUGCUGCAUGGCUGUCGUCAGCUCGUGUCGUGAGAUGUUGGGUUAAGUCCCGCAACGAGCGCAACCCUUGUCAUUAGUUGCUACGAAAGGGCACUCUAAUGAGACUGCCGGUGACAAACCGGAGGAAGGUGGGGACGACGUCAAGUCCUCAUGGCCCUUAUGGGUAGGGCUUCACACGUCAUACAAUGGUACAUACAGAGGGCCGCCAACCCGGCGAGGGGGAGCUAAUCCCAGAAAGUGUAUCGUAGUCCGGAUUGUAGUCUGCAACUCGACUGC
rnacentral:rRNA from 1 species